rnacentral:lncRNA from 10 species
ACUUUAAAGGGGUGACUUUUAUGGUACGUGAAGUAUAUGUUGAGAGAGAGAGAAAUGUUUAGACAAGAACAGGCUGCGUUGUAAGCAGGAAUGAAAGGGAAGGGAGCCAGUCAUAUUAUCGAGGACUUACAAAGCUAGAAGAGACAACUACUUCUCAACCCUAGGCAGAAAUGCUUUGAGUGACAGAGCGUAAUAGAUCUCAGCCUUAAAUGAAGGGAUUA